rnacentral:rRNA from 1 species
GAGCACGUAGGUGGGUUUGUAAGUCAGACGUGAAAGCCUUCUGUUCAACGGAAGAAUUGCAUCUGAAACUACAAACCUUGAGUGUAGGAGGGGAGAAUGGAACUUCUGGUGGAGCGGUGAAAUGCGUAGAUAUCAGAAGGAACGCCGGCGGCGAAAGCGAUUCUCUGGCCAAUUACUGACACUCAGUGUGCGAAAGCUAGGGGAGCAAACGGGAUUAGAUACCCCGGUAGUCCUAGCCGUAAACGAUGGGCACUAAGUAGAGGG